rnacentral:rRNA from 1 species
ACUCAAAUGAAUUGACGGGGGCCCGCACAAGCGGCGGAGCAUGUUGCUUAAUUCGACGCAACGCGAAGAACCUUACCAAGGUUUGACAUGGGCCGAAAACUCGCAGAGAUGCGGGGUCCUUCGGGGCGGUUCACAGGUGGUGCAUGGCUGUCGUCAGCUCGUGUCGUGAGAUGUUGGGUUAAGUCCCGCAACGAGCGCAACCCUCGUCCCAUGUUGCCAGCAGGUAAAGCUGGGGACUCAUGGGAGACUGCCGGGGUCAACUCGGAGGAAGGUGGGGAUGACGUCAAGUCAUCAUGCCCCUUAUGUCUUGGGCUGCAAACAUGCUACAAUGGCCGGUACAGAGCGCUGCGAGCCCGUGAGGGUGAGCGAAUCGCGGAAAGCCGGUCUCAGUUCGGAUCGGGGUCUGCAACUCGGCCCCGUGAAGCCGGAGUCGCUAGUAAUCGCGGAUCAGCAACGCCGCGGUGAAUACGUUCCCGGGCCUUGUACACACCGCCCGU